GAAAUGCGAUAAGUAGUGUGAAUUGCAGAAUUCAGUGAAUCAUCGAAUCUUUGAACGCACAUUGCGCCCCUUGGUAUUCCAUGGGACAUGCCUGUUCGAGCGUCAUUUGUACCCUCAAGCUCUGCUUGGUGUUGGGUGUUUGUCCCGUCUCCGCGCGUGGACUCGCCCCAAAGUGAUUGGCAGCCGGCGUACUGGUCCCGGAGCGCAGCACAUGUCGCGCAAACGAGUGCCUUGGUACGGCGGCGUCCAAAAGCCCCUCUCUCACGCUCUUGACCUCGGAUCAGGUAGGGAUACCCGCUGAACUUAAGC
rnacentral:misc_RNA from 1 species